GCCUCUUACAUUCCAUUUUAGUGUCAAAAAUUCCAUCUCUUGUGGUCAACCAAAAGGAUGCUCAUGAUUAUUUGAUGGGUUGCAUGACUUUGAUGGAUUUAUAAAUUGACACAGGAGUGGCUGCAAGAAGAGUCCAGCUGUACCCAGAAUGCACACAAGGACAAACACCCACAGGAAGAUCCUAUCAAUCACCAUGGCAACAUACUUCCAGUCAUCCUGGACCUUUGAAGACAGCCUGCACAUAGAUCCUACUCCAAUCAAUUACCCUGGGUCUCCUCCCUGGCCUCCUGGUCAUCUUCCGGGUCCCCUUUCUCACCAGUAUCUUCCUGGACUCUUUAUUUUGAAGUGUUUUCCUGGACUACAUUUCCCAGUAUGCACUGCCUUCAUCACUGACAUCUGUUCCUGAUUGUUCUCACCUGUUUUCCAUUCACUCAUUAGCUCUUGUUUGUGUAAAUACCCUUUAGUUUUUGUAUUCCUUUAUCAGUUCCCAUUUGUUGUUUGACUGUCAUCAUUUUUAUUAAAGCCUGCACAUAGAUCCUACAUCUCCUGUCUCAUCGCAGCAACCAAUCUUUACAGAAACUACAAUGGAAAAAGUGAGAACUCUUCACAUACGCGUGCUUUACAAGAUAUUAGCAUGAGCUGCAUAGUCCCUCUGAACCUCUGAACAAACAGCGAAUAAGACAUUUUCUUUCGUCUGUUCUACAAGAUAUAAUAAAGUUCUUCAACUGUGGGUCUUUGUGUCUAUAUGAUACUUGUCAUACAUCAUUUCUUGACAUGUAUCACUCUGAGAUGUCUUAGAGGUCACCCACCACAUUUGCGGGUAGAUGAGCAAAAUUACCUGCCACUGUGCACAAAAUAACUGCAUUUGGUGGGUGGCAGUUUCUAAUUUCAUACCAUGGCUGCUUAUACAAGAGACCAUCUAACUUGCUACAUUAUGAAAAUAUUAAUAAAAAAUGUUUUAUUCUAUCAUUAGU